rnacentral:rRNA from 1 species
CCUACGGGAGGCAGCAGUGGGGAAUAUUGCACAAUGGGGGAAACCCUGAUGCAGCGACGCCGCGUGAGUGAAGAAGUAUUUCGGUACGUAAAGCUCUAUCAGCAGGGAAGAAAAUGACGGUACCUGACUAAGAAGCACCGGCUAACUACGUGCCAGCAGCCGCGGUAAUACGGGGGGUGCGAUCGUUAUCCGGAUUUAUUGGGUUUAAAGGGUGCGUAGGCGGACUGUUAAGUCAGAGGUAAAAGCCCGGGGCUCAACCCCGGCGAGCCGUUGAAACUGGCUGUCUUGAGAUGUGGAGAGGUAUGCGGAAUGCGCAGUGUAGCGGUGAAAUGCUUAGAUAUUGGGAAGAAACCCGAUUGCGAAGGCAGGAUACCGG